AAUAUUCCAACUUCAAUGCAAAAUCCACAAGGUAUACACCUUAAUGCUCAAAUUUAAUUAAGCUGAUCAUUAGCAAUUAUGUCUGACUCGGAUCCGCCAGAUGCUCAAGGUGUUAUAGGAAGGCCCAAAAGGAAUUCUUCCUCCUCCCAGUCAUCUUUCCAGAGUGCUGGAGGGUCGUAUCUGCCAAACGCUCAGGGUGCUCUAGGAAGGGACAAGAUGAAAUCUUCGGCGUCCCAAUCAUCAUCUCAAAGUGGUGGUGGAGGCUCGUAUCCGCCAAAUACUCAUAGCGCUCUAGGAAGGGACAAGAAGAAAUUUGGGAAAAACAAGUGAAGAAUUAUAUAUGCAGACUGUUACAUUAAGGUUAUAUACUAUACAAUUGAAUUAUUGAUUAAUUUGUUGGCAACCAUGGAGGUAUACAAAAUACAGUUGGACAUAAAUAAGCACAAUUGCAUAUUUAUAUUUACAAACUUGGAAAAUAUUUGUCUCCAUUAUUUGGUACAAAUAUUUCUUUUCAAGGUUAGAAACAUGUACAUUAUAAUUUCUUAAGUUCAGUCAGCAUUAUUAUAUUGUAAAAAAGGGUGGGUGCUGCUAAGAACAAAUCCCACAAGAAUGUAUCAAAAGAAAUGCAUUAAUAUAUUAUUUGAUUUUUUUCUAUAUAUAGUUGAUGUUUGCAUAGAUUUUAAGCAAGUAUAAAGGGGUGGAAAGCUAUUUUAGUUAAAUUUCAAGUAAAAACGGGUAGAAAACUAUUUUAUUAUCUCCCCAACCCCCUUAGUGCACAUAUUAUCAUUUGUUCAACUAAAAAAGCAAACACUUAGUGCUAUGGUCUAGUGGUAUUCCUGUUCACUUAUGAGUGAGAGGUCUUUGGUUCGAUUCUCGCCAAAGCCGAAGUUGAACCAUAUUAUUAUGACAAGCUUAUUGUAAGGCGUAGCACCAACCAUGUAUCAUCCUACUCAAAAUUCGUACAUAAUUUUUAAUUUAAAAAUACGAAAUAUAAAAUUACAACUAAAUUAGACACCAUCACACCCUUAAAAAUAAAAGUAAAAAAUAUAACAAAAGCCACACAAACACCUCCAUCUCUGACAAAAUUCCCAAACCAUACAUCCCUGGUUCUUUGACAUGCUCCCGUUUUAUGGAUGCUUUUCAUCUCUUUCAAUUUAUUAUUCACUUCAUAGAAUAUAUAUGUGCUAUGUUUGGAUGAGGGUUGUUUUCCAAGUCCCAAAGGAUUGAAGUCAAACCAUGAAGGAAUGGACCACAAAAUAUAACAUAGAGGCAAUAUGAAAAGUCCUUCAUGAGCAUUAAAAGGCGUAUCCCUGCCGAUCCAACUUCAAAAUUAAGAGUAGCCAAGCCUAGCUUAUGAAGAGGAUGGGAAACCGAGUCCUCUUCUCUAAAAUUAGUAUGGGCUACUUGGAUGUGGUGUUUACGUCACUUGACAUUUUUCAGUUCAUCUUGAUUCAAGAAGUUUUCUCCUCGUACAGCUUGUAAAAAUUCUUAAUUAUGUGGGGCAUUAAGUUUCAUUGUGUGUGCUUGCUUUUGACUAAGGACCGAGAUUUUGGCAACUUGGAUGAUGGGAGGCUUCUUUGGAUCUAUGAGCUUGGUUCCAAUUCAUUGAAGGUGAUGAUAACGGUCUAAAAUAUCGUUAGACUCAUAAAUCCUCCAUUUGAUUUCUUACUUGUUCUUCUUCACUCGGCAAACACCUCCCCUUCUGGUCACAAACACAUAUUCUGAUUUGGAAAUGGUCCGUCUGCAUACCCACCGAUCAAUCCCUUAUUUGUGUUUUUGGGAAAAAACUGGGAACUUGUGCAGCAACUUACUGCAUGUAAGCCUUAGAAGAUUUCUUUCCUUCUUUGUUAACAAGGAAACUGAUAUGGAUGAACACACAUAUGCAUGCCUGGAGAGCCACAUAUAAUAUUACAAUUCGUUUGUGGGUUUCGAUCCACUAAUGUUUUUCUAUAUGAGUAAGCCUUUCUCUUCAUUUUCUUAAGCGGUUGAAAGUCAACAGAUAUACACACACACACAAGAUAUACACACACGGGGUCACAGAGAGAAAAGAAAAUUAUAUCACAGAGAAACCCCAGAAAUUAUCAAUGGAGAGAAAUUUUAUGAGAAAUUUCCCAUACAUUAUGUAAAUAUCCAUGUAUUAACUCAAUCAAUCUAGCAAAGAACCUUGUCAGAAACUUGUUCUCAUUUUCCAGGAAUAUGUGUGUAUGAUAUAGGAGGAGAAAUCCCCCAAGCAAUCACAUGCCAGCGCAAUCAAAACAGCGUCAAUGAUUUCUUCUUAACUGCGCUGCACAAGCGGCGUAAGAACCAAUUCUUCUCAGCUCAGCCGACCACUCACAUUCAGCUGGAGACAUAGAAAAAGGAAUUCAAGUUAAACAAAUAAAUUGUGUUUACUUAUGCGCUUAGGUUACUCUAAUUUCUUUGUAGUUCUGUGGAAACCAAACUGCAUGAUACGAACCAUAACGUCCCUCCCAAUCGGAAACUAUAAAUAUUUCCAACUUCAAUGCCCAAAAUCCAGAAAUUGAUCUCCUUUACACACCUUCUGUGUACAAGUUUAAUUAAGAUAAUCAUUAGCAACUAUAUCUUCUAACUCGGAUCCGCCAGUUGCUCAAAAUGUUUUAGGAAGGCCCAAAACAAAUUCUUCGUCAUCCCAGUCAUCUUUUCCGAGGGCUAGAGGCUCGUAUCUGCCAAACGCUUGUUGAAUUCUAAUCCAGUCUUGGGCCGAGUCCAACCCAUGUUGAAAAGGCAACACAAGCUAAUUGAUGGUUCAUGCAAAUGCUAGAUAAUUCUAGCAAAAGCAGGUGAAAUGCAUGCAUAUUAAAAUCCAGCAAAGACCAAGUCGGUUAAGCCAUCUAGAAAUAUCUAAACUAUAUCUAAUGUAUCCUUUUUCUAGAAAGAUCAAAGCUAGCAAUUCGUGUGGCUGUUAAGCAAUGCUCAAGUCGGUGCAAUAAGGAAAGUCGGCAAAACCACACCUAUAAAUAGGUGUAUGUGUGUGUGUUGUGAAGCAAGAACUAAGAAGAAGUGAGAGCAAGUAAGAGAGCAAUAAGUGUGAGAGUGUUUGAGUGUUUCCUCUUGUACUAAGUUUGUGUGAAAAUAAAAAUUUUUGUAUAACACUUUGAGUGUUCUUUCUCUUGCCUAUCAAUUCCGCUGCAUUUCAUUCUUCUUUGUGAGAUAAACAUCUCCAAAGUAGUGAAGCCUUUUUUAAGUCCCAACAAAGUGGUACCAGAGCUAUGGCUAGCAACGCUAUGGCAGCCUUCCAAGUUCCAGUGCUCGACAACAACAACUUCGAUAAUUGGAGUAUCAAAAUGAGGGCCCUUUUGGGAGCACAUGAUGUCUGGGAAGUCGUGGAGAAAGGCUACACUGAGCCAGAAGAUGAAGCUACUCUGUCCCAACCCCAGAAGGAGAGUUUGAAAGAUUCAAGAAAGAGAGACAAGAAGGCUCUCUACCUCAUCUACCAAGCAUUAGAUGACAAUGGCUUUGAGAAAGUCUCGAGUGCAACCUCUGCCAAGCAAGCAUGGGAGAAGCUUCAAACCUCUUACAAAGGAGCUGAACAAGUGAAAAAGGUUCGUCUUCAAGUACUAAGAGGUGAGUUCGAAUCUCUACAAAUGAAAGCGUCUGAAUCAAUCUCUGAUUAUUUUUCAAGAGUCUUAGCCGUUUCCAAUCAAUUAAAAAGAAACGGAGAAAAGUUAGAAGAUGUUAGAAUUAUGGAGAAGAUACUACGCUCGUUGGACCCCAAGUUCGAGCACAUUGUCGUGACGAUUGAAGAAACAAAGAACUUGGAAGAAAUUAGUAUAGAGCAAUUAAUGGGUUCGCUACAAGCAUAUGAAGAGAAACAUAAAAAGAGGCAAGGGAAUGAUGAGCAGCUCCUCCAGACGCAUGUUCAGCCAAAGAAGAAAGAAGAAAGCUUCGAUAACGAGAGAAGCCAGUACGAAAGAAGUCGUGGUCGAGGUCGCGGACAUGGACAUGGACGUGGACGUGGUUGGAACUUCAACAACCAUAGUAACUACGAAAGAGGAGGAAGCUCAACAAAAGGUCGUGGAAGAGGACGCUCAAACUUGAGGUAUGAAAAAUCUCAAGUUCAAUGCUACAAUUGUCAAAAGUUCGGGCAUUAUGCUUGGGAAUGUAGAGCUCCAAGCAACAGACCUGAUGAAAAGGUCAAUUAUGUGAAAGAAGAUAAAGAAGAGAAUGGCAUUGUGCUACUAGCAUGCAAGAACAAUGAUAAAGACCAAGACUAUACAUGGUACCUUGACACCGGCGCCAGCAACCACAUGUGUGGAAGAAGAAGCGUGUUCGUAGAGCUCAAUGAAUCAGUGAAUGGCAACGUUUCUUUUGGAGAUGAAUCCAAAAUACCUGUAAAAGGAAAAGGUAACAUCCUUAUUCCCUUGAAAAAUGGAGGUCACCAAUUAAUUUCAAAUGUCUACUACGUGCCCAAUAUGAAAAGCAACAUUUUGAGUUUGGGUCAACUCUUAGAAAAAGGUUAUGAUUUUCAUACGAAAAAUUAUAUCCUUUUUCUUAGAGAUGACAAAGGAAGAUUAAUUGCCAAGGAGAAAAUGUCAAAGAAUAGGAUGUUUCCCAUGGACAUUCAAAACGAUGUUGCAAAGUGUCUCAAGAUAUGUUACAAAGACAUAUCUUGGCUUUGGCAUCUUCGUUUUGGGCAUCUUAACUUUGGGGGAUUGGAGUUAUUAUCUAAGAAGAAGAUGGUGAGAGGCUUACCGUGCAUCAGCCACCCUGAUCAAGUUUGUGAAGGAUGUUUACUUGGGAAACAGUUCAGGAAAAGCUUUCCAAAGGAGUCGACCACAAGAACCCAGAAGCCACUUGAGCUCAUUCACACCGAUGUGUGCGGCCCAAUAAAACCAAGCUCUUUGGGUAAAAAUAAUUAUUUCCUUCUCUUCAUUGAUGAUUUUUCAAGGAAAACCUGGGUGUAUUUCUUGAAGCAGAAAUCAGAAGUCUUUGGAGCAUUCAAGAAGUUUAAAGCUGCUGUAGAAAAAGAAAGUGGUUGCAAGAUCAAAGCCAUGAAAUCUGAUCGAGGAGGAGAAUUCACUUCGAAGGAAUUUCAAGAGUUUUGUGAAGCAAAUGGAAUUCGUCGACCUUUGACAGUUCCAAGAUCCCCUCAACAAAAUGGUGUGGCGGAAAGAAAAAAUCGAACUAUCCUCGACAUGGCUCGAAGUAUGCUCAAAAGUAAGAGAUUGCCUAAAGAGUUAUGGGCAGAAGCUGUAGCAUGUGCUGUCUACCUAUCCAAUCGGUCUCCAACAAGAAGUGUGUGGGGAAAGACUCCGCAAGAAGCAUGGAGUGGAAGAAAACCAGGUAUCUCUCAUCUAAGAGUUUUUGGAAGCAUAGCCCAUGUACAUGUACCAGACGAAAGGAGAACCAAACUCGACGACAAAAGUGAGAAGUUCAUCUUCAUCGGCUAUGACUCAAACUCAAAAGGCUAUAAGUUGUAUAAUCCAAACAAUGGGAAGAUGGUGAUCAGUCGAGAUGUGACGUUCGAUGAAGAAUGAGAAUGGGAUUUUUGCUCUCAUGCAGGUGAUCUUCACUUCUUUCCUCAGUUUGAAGAAGAUAAUGAACAAGGGAUGAUGGAGCAAGCAAGAGAGGUUCAACAAGAAUCCACUACUCCACCUGCUUCACCAACAUCAACCAAUCAUGGUAAUUCACCAGCAUCAGCAUCAUCAAGUGGGAGUCUAAAUGAAAGAGAAGUACCACGCACAAGAAGUCUACGAGAUCUCUAUGAGAUAGCUGAAAGACUCGAUAAUCCUACACUUUUCUGUCUCUUUGCUGAUUGUGAACCAGUUGACUUCCAAGAAGCAGUGCAAGAUACUAAGUGGAUGAGAGCAAUGGAUGAAGAAAUUGAAGCAAUCCAGAAGAAUGAUACAUGGGAACUCGCUAUUCUUCCGAAAGGACACAAAGCCAUCGGAGUCAAGUGGGUGUACAAGACAAAGAAAAAUGCCAAUGGAGAGGUCGAAAGAUACAAGGCGAGAUUAGUGGCGAAGGGUUAUAGUCAAAGAGCCGGAAUCGACUAUGAUGAGGUAUUUGCACCCGUUGCUCGGUUGGAAACUAUACGAUUACUAAUUUCUUUGGCAGCUCAAAACAAAUGGAGGAUUCAACAAAUGGAUGUGAAGUCCGCUUUCCUAAAUGGAGUCCUUGAAGAAGAAGUCUACAUUCAGCAACCAUCAGGCUAUGAAAUCAAAGGGCAUGAAGAUAAAGUUCUGAAGUUGAAGAAAGCCCUAUAUGGUUUAAAACAAGCGCCACGAGCAUGGAAUAGUCGCAUUGACAAGUACUUCCAGGAGAACAACUUCACCAAGUGCCCUCAUGAACAUGCUCUCUACGUCAAAGUCAAAGAUGGAGAUAUUUUGAUUGUGUGUUUAUAUGUGGAUGAUCUAAUCUUCACCGGAAGUAAUCCAAGCAUGUUUGAAGAGUUCAAGAGAGUGAUGACCAAAGAAUUCGAGAUGACGGACAUCGGGUUGAUGGCAUACUACCUAGGCAUUGAAGUCAAGCAGAACGAAGAAGGUAUUUUCAUCUCCCAAGAAAGCUACACAAAGGAGAUACUGAAAAAGUUCAAAAUGGACGACUGCAAACCCAUAAGCACGCCAGUGGAGUGCGGAGUCAAACUAACCAAGCAUGACGAAGGAGAAAGUGUAGAUCCAACAUUUUUCAAGAGUUUAGUUGGAAGCUUGCGUUACUUGACUUGCACAAGACCAGAUAUUUUCUAUGCCGUCGGAUUAGUCAGUCGCUACAUGGAGAAUCCCACAACUACACAUUUGAAGACAGCCAAAAGAAUUCUUCGAUACCUUAAAGGUACUGUUAACUUUGGCUUGUUCUAUUCAAGUUCUGAUAACUAUAAACUUGCUGAAUAUAGCGACAGUGAUUGGGCAGGAGAUUCCGAUGAUAGAAAAAGCACUACUGGAUUUGUGUUCUUCAUGGGAGACACUGCAUUCACAUGGAUGUCUAAGAAGCAACCGAUUGUCACUCUCUCUACCUGCGAAGCUGAAUACGUAGCUGCUACCUCAUGUGUCUGUCAUGCAAUCUGGCUGAGAAACUUACUAAAAAAAUUAAGCAUGCCACAAGAAGAGCCAACAAAGAUCUAUGUCGACAACAAGUCUGCAAUAGCUCUAGCAAAGAAUCCAGUAUUCCAUGACAGGAGCAAACACAUAGAUACCCGCUAUCAUUACAUAAGAGAGUGUAUUACAAGAAAGGAUGUGCAAGUGGAAUACGUGAAGUCUCAAGACCAAAUGGCGGACAUAUUCACCAAGCCACUCAAACAAGAAGACUUUAUGAGAUUGAGAAAUUCAAUCGGCGUCACAAGACAAGAUUAAGGGGGGAUGUUGAAUUCUAAUCCAGUCUUGGGCCGAGUCCAACCCAUGCUGAAAAGGCAACACAAGCUAAUUGAUGGUUCAUGCAAAUGCUAGAUAAUUCUAGCAAAAGCAGGUGAAAUGCAUGCAUAUUAAAAUCCAGCAAAGACCAAGUCGGUUAAGCCAUCUAGAAAUAUCUAAACUAUAUCUAAUGUAUCCUUUUUCUAGAAAGAUCAAAGCUAGCAAUUCGUGUGGCUGUAAGCAAUGCUCAAGUCGGUGCAAUAAGGAAAGUCGGCAAAACCACACCUAUAAAUAGGUGUAUGUGUGUGUGUUGUGAAGCAAGAACUAAGAAGAAGUGAGAGCAAGUAAGAGAGCAAUAAGUGUGAGAGUGUUUGAGUGUUUCCUCUUGUACUAAGUUUGUGUGAAAAUAAAAAUUUUUGUAUAACACUUUGAGUGUUCUUUCUCUUGCCUAUCAAUUCCGCUGCAUUUCAUUCUUCUUUGUGAGAUAAACAUCUCCAAAGUAGUGAAGCCUUUUUUAAGUCCCAACAACGCUCAGGGUGAUCUAGGUAGGGACGAUACGAAGUCUUCGUCAUCCCAGUCAUCUUUUCAGAAUGGUGGAGGCUCCUAUCUGCCAAAUACUCAUAUUGCUCUUGGAAGGGACACGAAAAAAACUGGGAAAAACAAGUGAAGAAUUAUAUAUGCAGACUGCUGCAGUAGGGUUAGUUAUAUUGAUUAGUAUAAGAAGGGUAGUAUGGUCCAAAGGUAAAAUGGUGCUGAUAUGGCAAACUGUUAAGUAAGGCAGUUGGUAUAUUUGGUAGUUAGUUAGAAUUGGUGGGAAGAUUAGUUAAAACUGUUAGUGCUAGUAGCUUAAGAGAUAAGGCAACCACUGUGCUAUAUAAGUGUGUAAGAAUCUUGUAAUAUUCAUUCUAGCAAUAUACAAAAACUCAUCUCUUUGCAAUUCUCUUUCUUUCUCUCUAAGUGUUCUGCUUUUCUUCGGUUCUCUGUGAACUGUUAUCAUGGUAUCAAGAGCCAGGCCGAUUCUCGGACUCAAUUCCGCUAUGCGACUCCUUGCGAUCGGUUGAAGUUUCUUGGGGUUUUUCUGCUCAAAUGUCCAUAUUUCCAUUUGUAUCAUGUUCUUUCUUUUUGAUUCCACGGUGCACACCAUCUGUUUGCUUAAAUGCCGCAGUGAAAAUUUGUUUCUUCGAUGUGGUUUCUUGUAUGCAAGUUUCUCUAUUAAGACCGAUAGCCAUUUUCUGCGAGAUUGUUGAAGGAAUACAAAGGCCGAUAGCCAUUCCUUUCUGUUGCUUGACUAGUUCUUGGUUAUUUGAAAUUUGUGCACUCGAAAAAGGCCGAUUGCCAAGAGUGUGUUGAAUGCAAUUUGUUUCCUCCGUAAGGCCGAUAGCCGGAGUGAAAAGUUCUGUCUCAGAUAUUGUGUGUUACUCUUUAAAGGUUGAUAGCCGGAGUAACAUUCUUGAAAAGUUUUGUUUGUUGUUAUUGUGUGCAACUCCAUUAAGGCCGAUUGCCAGAGUACAGUUCUUAUCCCCUUUCUUCAUUGAAGGCCGAUUGCCGAAGAGGGGUGUGUUUCUUGAUUUCUGUUAAUAAUGAAAAAGGCCCACUUACUGUCAAGGGAAGCUGCACGCAAAUUGAGGGAAAGGUCAAAAUUGUUUCACAAGCCACCUCUGCCGUCGCCUUCUAGAGAUGGCAGUGCCAGUCCAAGUGUGUAGACACUCUCCCCUGCUGCUAAGAAGUUUGUAAGAAAUGUAAUGGGCAAGUCCUCAUCUUUUAUUGAUGAAACUCUUCGUGCCAGUUACCGAGGUUCAAGUCCAAGGUUUACUACUCCUAAAGGUGGAAGGAGUGUGUCAAGGCUUGGAAGCCAUGCUAGUAUCGUAUUGAGAUCACCUUCUGCUGCAAGGGAGGGCACUAAUCAAUAUGCCGAUAUCUUAACUAAAGAUCAAUUUGUUACAAUCUUAAACUUGGUAACCCAAGUUAAGAUUGCGGAGGGAUAUUGACUAGUAUAAGAAGGGUAGUAUGGUCCAAAGGUAAAAUGGUGCUGAUAUGGCAAACUGUUAAGUAAGGCAGUUGGCAUAUUUGGUAGUUAGUUAGAAUUGGUGGGAAGAUUAGUUAAAACUGUUAGUGCUAGUAGCUUAAGAGAUAAGGCAGCCACUGUGCUAUAUAAGUGUGUAAGAAUCUUGUAAUAUUCAUUCUAGCAAUAUACAGAAACUCAUCUCUUUGCAAUUCUCUUUCUUUCUCUCUAAGUGUUCUGCUUUUCUUCGGUUCUCUGUGAACUGUUAUCACUGUGAACUAUUAUCAAUUUACUGUAUAAUUGAAUUAUUGAUUAAUUUGUUGGCAACUAUGUGGUAUACAUAAUACAGUUGGUCAUAAAUAAGCAAAGUUGCAUAUUUCUUUUUAAGGUUAGAACAUGUACAUUAUAAUUUCUUCAGUUCAGUUAGCAUUAUUUUAUUGUGAAAAUGGGUGGGUGCUGCUAAGAACAAAUCCCACUAGGAUAUAUCAAAAGAAAUGCAUUAAGAGCUUAAAAAUUACAACUAAAUUAGACAUCAUUCUUAUACUUAAAAAAUAAAAGUAAAAAAAUAAAAAGGGGUGUGAUAUCCACACAACCUUUUUUACUUCUCAUACACCCCUCUAAUUUUCGGUCGUCGGAUCAGAUGAAUUGAAGAAGAUCAACGAACAGAAAUUAACGAAUGGUGUGUGAGAUGUAAAAUGGAGUGUGUGGAUAGCACAUCCCUAUAAAAAAAAGUCACAGAAGCGCCUCCAUCACAUACACAAUUCCCAAACCACAGAUCCAUGGCUCUUUGACAUCCUCCCUUUUUGUGGAUGUUUAUCAUCUCUUUCAAUUUAUUAUUCCCUUCAUAAAAUAUAUGUGCACUAUGUUUGGAUGAGGGUUUUCCAAGUUCUGAGGGAUUGAAGUCAAACUAUGAAGGAAUGGACCACAUAAUAUAACAGAAAGGCGAUUCAAAAAGACCUUGAUGGGCAUUAUAAAGGCAUGUCCGCACCGAUCCAACUCAAAAUUCUGAGUUGGCCAAGCCUAGCUUAUGAUAUUGCCUAUUGGGAUUUAUAAAUCUUGGCACUUUUCGUUGCAGAAGCAUGUUUACUCAUCACCAUAACUAUGGUGUGUUUUCUCACCAUAUAUGCUUUGGACCUAACAUCCGUGUCCUGCUUUUCGUGUUCGUAUCGUUUUCUUCACAUACCCGAUAUUUUAACAGGUCAUGUCGUGUAACACCCAUUAAAGUAAACGGGUAAUAUGACCCUACCCGAAAUAAAUCCGUUAAUAUUAUCAGGUAAUAUGAUCUAAACUGUUAUUUGUUAAAGAAAACUAUGCAUGAGGGUAUGUAUGGUUUUAAAAAUUAAAAUGGCAAUGUACCCAUCCUCAAAACGUAGAUCAUGCAAUCACGAGCGUUUACCUAUUUUUUCACAUUUUUUGCACUUGUAAAUUAAUUAUUAUAAUUGUUUUGAUGUAUUUGGUAUUUUUGAGCAAGAUGUCUUUGGUAUUUUUAAAUUACUUGAUAUUUUUAUUUUUAAUGUGUAAUUUUUUAAUCUCAAUCUAUGCCUAUAGUAUACUAAAUAAAUAAAUAAAACCUAAAUUUUUAAAAUUUAUAUAGAAUAAUAAUACAAUAAUACAUAUUUAUACAUAAUAUAUACAUAUACACUAUGUCUAUUGUAUUUUAUAGUAAGUGUUUUUAGUAGUUGAAAAAAUUAAAAUCAUCAAAAGAACUUUUUUCUUACCGUGUCAAAACAGGUUACUCACAUGUCACCCUCGUAUAACCCUGUUAAAGACCUGUUAUUAACGGGUUUUUAUCGUGUAAUCCGAUAACGACCCAAUUAAUUAUCGUGUUGACCCGAAACCUGUUAUUUUCGAGUCAUUUUUGUGUUGUAUUAACAAGUUUGUACUAGGUUUACGUUUUCAUUUCCCACUGUUGUAGCUAGGAAACUAUAUACUGGACUUCGUGUGCCAUUAACAUGUAUGGGUCAUAAAUCCUCCAUUUGAUUUCUUAUUUGUUCUUCUUCACUCGACAGACGCCUCCCCUUACGAACACGUAUUUCUGAUUUGUAAAUGGUCUGUUGGUCUUACCAACCGAUCAGUCCCUUAUUUGUGUUUCUGGGAAAAAUCUGAGAAAUUGUGCAGCAACUUACUGCAUGCAGCCCUUUGAAGAUUUAUUUUUUCUUUGUUAACAAGGUAACUGAUAUGGAUGAAUACACACACAUAUGAACGCAUGAAGAGCCUGUAGAUUAAGAUCUGAGCCCUCCAUCCAUUGGCAUAAAGAUAUACACACACAGAAAGGAAAAUUAUAUCACAGAGAAACAUCAGAAAUUAAAAAUGGAGAGAAAAUAUUUUAAGAGAAAUUUCCAAUAUAUAAUGUAAACAUCCAGCCCAUGUAUUAACUUAAUUAAUAUAACAAAAAGCCUAGUCAAAAACUUGUUCUCAUUUUCCAGGAAUAUGUGUGUAUGAUAGAGGAGGAGAAAUCCCCCAAGCAAUCACAUGCAUGCGCAAUCAAAACACCGUCAAAGAUGUCUUCUUAACAGCAUUGCAUACGCGGCAUAAAAACAAAUUUCAGCUCAUCCGACCACUCGCAUUCAGAUGGAAAUAUAGAAAAAGGAAUUCAAAUUAAACAAAUAAAUUGUGUUUACUUAUGCGGUCAGGUUACUCUAAUUUCCUGGUAGGUCUGUGGAAACCAAACUGCACGAUACGAACCCUAACGCCCCUCCCAAUCGGCUACUAUAAAUAUUCCAACUUCAAUGCAAAAUCCACAAGUUAUACACCUUAAUGUUCAAAUUUAAUUAAGCUGAACAUUAGCAAUUAUGUCUGAUUCGGAUCCGCCAGAUGCUCAAGGUGUUAUAGGAAGGCCCAAAAGGAAUUCUUCCUCCUCCCAGUCAUCUUUUCAGAGUGCUGGAGGGUUGUAUGUGCCUAACGCUCAGGGUGCUCUAGGAAGGGACAAGAUGAAAUCUUCGUCGUCCCAAUCAUCAUCUCAAAGUGGUGGAGGCUCGUAUCCGCCAAAUACUCAUAGCGCUCUAGGAAGGGACAAGAAGAAAUUUGGGAAAAACAAGUGAAGAAUUAUAUAUGCAGACUGU
rnacentral:lncRNA from 1 species